UCAAAUUUCGAUUGUUGUUUCAACUUUUUCUUAACCGUCUGUUUGCAAACCAUCAGUUAAGAAAACAGUUGGUUAAGAAAAAGAUGCAAGAACAGUCCAUGGUUUGGUGAGCUAGGCUGUUGAUUCGAGCCAGCUACAGAUGUGCUAGCUGCAAACAGAUCAUUAAGAAAAUGCUGCAACAAUAUUAAAUCUCCCAUUUAUUAAAGAAAGAUCGAGUAAUCCAUUUUUAUUUUUAUUUUCCUGUUAGUUUUGUCUAGAAAUUGAUCGAUUUCACUUUUAGCACAAUAUUGAACUUGAUAUGUAAUUAUGAAUCCUGAUGUAUGUCAAAGCAACAUGACUUGUGGGCCUUGGUUCUUGGAUGUUCUCUAGGUUAAAUGAGUUCGAGUCAUAAGACAUAUUCAUUCAUGUGCAAUGCUUGUUUUCUUUGUUCAGGCUAGUAUAUAUCGGGAGGAGAAUAAUCUCAUAGACUUGUAUAUUAUCCUUCUCACAUUUUCAAGGCGGAGAAUAAAGACACCAUCGAAUCACAAGAUCAGGUUUUCAUAAGAGACCUUAUUACACUUCACGACAGGCACUCAAAGAAUCUUUUGAAGUCUUCUGCAAUAAGGAUGUUGCAGGCAACCCAGCUCCGAAGGCAAUUUGGGGGCUAAUCUCUUGUUUUGAGUGGAUUGGGGCUCAUUCCACGUAGUUCAUUUCACUGAAAGUGAUUUGAGAUAUUGCAAUUCAUUUUAUUUAAGCAACCAAACAAACCAUAACGAUGGGAUUGUAAGUUAUCAAAUUUGCUUGUCUAUAAAUAAUUCCUAUCAAACUAGAUAAUCAUGAUGGUUUCAUUGCAGGAAAAAGCUUGCUUGUAGGCUGUUGUUUGACAGGAGCACGAAUGUUGACCAUGAGCGAAGCCUUUUAACUAAGCUGAAGCAACAAUGGGGUGGCCAACUUACUUUGUAGAUGGAAGGAAUGGUCUGUCAUGUACUAACUACUUGCCCGAGCUAGUUGCAUGCGUGCGUGUGUUUUCUUCUUCUUUCUCAAAGGGAUUUCUUGGUGUUGAUCUUUCAUGUUUUUCUGGCAAUGCAGGUUACUGAUUUUCCAUUAGCAAGGGAGAAUCAACAGAAUGUUUUGAAGCUCCAUGCCCACUUCCAUCUUUAUAUUGCUAGCAGAAUUUUAUUCAGGAUGAUGGUUUUCAUAUCUUUUCUUUUCUUUUUCAGACUAUUCAACGUCUAUGUUCGUAGCUUGCUCAGCUCCAAGAUACAUACAUGUUGCCAGGAUUUGGCAACUAUGGUCCCAGAUCUUGAACCAGCAGAAAUAUUAUAUAUGGAAAACAAUGAGAGAGGAUAUGAUGUCUCUUCUGUGGCAUAACUUCAAGGUUUGAUCAGUUUUUUGGACCACUAUCUCUGAAAUAUUAACCCAAUGUUCACUUUCCAUUGCAGCUGACAUGAACGAAGUCAGGUUAAAAGUUGUUUUAUUUGGCGGGUUUCAAUAGGAUAUGGUGCCACUGGCUACAAUUCCUGUGGUGAUAGACAAAUCUAUUGUCGGCCCUUAAAUUAAUACUUUUGUGAUGCCGUUGUCAUUGCCAGGAUCCUAGGCGCUGCCCUCGUUGUUCCGAUCUUGCAAGUGAAUGUGAUUUGGGGAGG